AAGUCGUAACAAGGUUUCCGUAGGUGAACCUGCGGAAGGAUCAUUGUCGAAACCUGCCCAGCAGAACGACCCGCGAACCUGUCACAACAACUGGGGGCGGGGGGCGAUCUCGCGCCCCGCCCUCGAACGGCAGGGAGACACUCGUGCCUUCCUGCCGAACAACGUACCCCGGCGCGGUCCGCGCCAAGGAACAUGAACGAAAGAGUGCCUCCGGUCGCCUCGGAAACGCUGCGCGCACCGGAGGCGAAUCUUGUCUAGAACCAUAACGACUCUCGGCAACGGAUAUCUCGGCUCUC
rnacentral:misc_RNA from 1 species